UACGAAGGGGGCUAGCGUUGCUCGGAAUCACUGGGCUUAAAGGGCGCGUAGGCGGGCCGCCAGGUCCGGGGUGAAAGCCUCCAGCCCAACUGGAGAAGUGCCUUGGAUACCGGCGGCCUCGAGGGAGGUAGGGGCGUGCGGAACUUCGGGUGGAGCGGUGAAAUGCGUAGAUAUCCGAAGGAACACCGGUGGCGAAAGCGGCGCGCUGGAUCUCUUCUGACGCUGAGGCGCGAAAGCCAGGGGAGCAAACGGG
rnacentral:rRNA from 1 species